rnacentral:rRNA from 1 species
UGCCAGCAGCCGCGGUAAAACGUAGGAGGCGAGCGUUAUCCGGAUUUACUGGGUGUAAAGCGCGUGUAGGCGGUAACGUAAGUCGUGUGUGAAAGCGCUCAGGCUCAACCGGGCGAGGACAUGCGAAACUGCGGGACUUGAGGUAGGUAGAGGUAUGUGGAAUUCCGGGUGUAGUGGUGAAAUGCGUAGAGAUCCGGAGGAACACCAGUGGCGAAGGCGGCUCACUGGCUCGAUACUGACGCUGAGGUGCGAAAGCGUGGGGAGCAAACAGGAUUAGAUA